UACUACUCGUUGAUGUCUUUGCGCUGUUUGGCUGUCUCAAAACAUUGUAAGCACUUGGGAGAUGUGGUCUGUUUGGAUAAGACGGCAACUUCCCUAGUGACGUAUGUGCUUCAUGUCCCCGCCUCGCAGAAGGCCUCCUUGCUGCUCCUGGCGUUGGUGGUCGCAGCGUUCUGCAUCGCGCUGGUACACGGCGGCGCCGUACACCUGUUCGCCGUGCCCGUGGUUGCCGCGGCGCCCGCCGUGCUGGCCGCGCCGGCCGCCGUCUCGCACACGUACGCUCACCGCGUACACGCUCCGCUAGCCGCCGCGUACCCACUGCAUUAUGUCAUCGGAUGAGUGAGGUGAUGAAGACAUGAAGUCAGUGUGACAAGUGCUGCUCAACGGUCUGUCGAGGCAGUAGUUCUGUAAAUAAAAAGAUGGUAUUGUGAAAGUUUCAUUUAUUGCGCUUUGUUUUUUUUUUUUGUUUUUU